AGCACGAGCCUUGUUUUGUAGGAAUAAGUGUCUUUUUCUCACUGAAGGGAAUAGUUUGACAUCCUAAAGGUUGGUUUUCUUUGGGACUCAUGCCAGGAGUGGAGGAAAGGCAAGUUUUCCUUCACCCUCUCUCUGCUGAUAGACACAUGGACGGUCACACGAAUAGAGUGAAGGGCACAGAGGAGGGGUGUUUUUCAGCCCGUUUUGCCCAGAAUAAUCUAAACAUUGCUCAGCCGGGUGGGGAGAAGAGCAGAGCUGCCGUGGGGCCGUGGCUGAGGAGCGGCAGCCGCAGGAGGUCAGUGUUGCACUGUGGAUGCGGCAGCGAAAAGUCAGCGUGGCCUUGGAGGAAAACUUGACCCAGGAGGGAGGUUAAUUCCUCUUGGGCACCUCCGGGUAGUUUGCUGAACACAGAAGCAAACCAGUGUGGCAAAACCCGGUGCUAGGGAAGAACACGUCCCUGGAAGGAGCGAGGAUCUGCCCCAAAGCGGGGAAGGGAAAGCGCCGAAGGAGCGCGGUGCGGGUUUCGCGCCCGGGAGCUGGGAGCAGACACUAGAUGGCUUGGAUCUGGAUGGAUCCUGGGAGCUGCAGGCUUUCACCUCCAAACCCUUGCCCUGUCUUUGGCCCAGGGGUGCCCUGGCAGGCGCAGAGAGCCGUGUGCUGGAGGUUCGGGGCAGCUGGAGGGAGCGUGGCGGUGGCCGCGGCGCAGGUGGCCGGGUUUGUUGGCAGCUUCGCUCCACUUAUCAAGGCUGAAAAGCCCUUCUAUGCCUGCUCUCAAAUCCCUCUCUGCCUGCAAUUUAUCCUCUCAGGGUGGUCCGGGGGCAGGUUGGAGCAGGAGGCGUGAGGGAUGCUACUGUCAGGGCCGGGGCUGGCUGCUGAAAGAAGAUUUGCAUUCCAGGAGAUUCCAAGAUUCGCGUCCAGCCACUGCCUUCCCCCAGGGCUCAGUGCUCUGAAACGUGUUUUAAGGCCCAUUCCUAGGGAGCUCUGGCAGCUGUUUGAUGUGGUGGCAGCGCUCUUAGAGAAUGGCUGGGACAAUGACAGAAGUGAAACUCGAAUAUUCUCCAGUAGGCUCUGUGGUUCCUUCAUUAAAAACAGACAGAUAAACAAACAAAUUACAGCCCAUUAUGAGCAUGGCCUUCAGUUCCUCUUCAAACAGCUUUUUGCUGCUUUAAAAAGCCUUAAAUAAGGACACAUCCUCCCCAGUCCAGGCCAUAAACUGUUGGAUUUAAGCUUUCCUUGUGCCUCCAGGUCCAUUGCCUUUGCUGUCUUCUGACUGUCUGAUGUGAGCUUUUAAUUCAUUUGGCUUUUCCUGGUGAGAGGCUUCAGAACAAGAUUCCUUGUGUGCAGUCUUUGAUGUUACACCACAAAGAAUCCCCCCACCCCCCUUUUUUCCAAAUGCUCUGCUGAACCCCCAUUAAAAAAAAAAAAAGAAAAAAGAAAAAAAAAGAAAAAGAAAAGUUUCAUGUAACUAGGUUGAGAGGAAGUGGGGUGACCCAUGCAAAUAGUUUUUGUGUCGCUUACAAAGGCUCAGAUUCUAUGGUGAUGGGCUCAGCAAAAAGAUCUGAACUCAUUUAGGCAGGGCUGGGCUGAGUUGUCUUUGCAUUGCACUGCCUGAAAGGCAGAGGAUGCAGAGGGGUCCCUGCCAAGCCAGGCUGAUGCAGCCCAAUAUUCCCUGACCAGUUUGCUGUCUCUUCUCAUGGCUCUGCCCUGGUAACACUGAUUUUAACAACGCAAAAGACCUCCAGCCCUAAGCCUUGAAAUCAGAGGGUGAAACACGCUGUGGGAAUUCAGCCAGAAUUUUACUUCCUCUGAAAGUAGAUAAAUAAUUGGUUUGCUUCAUUUGACUCUUAGUGACUUCUGCCUUAUUGCUUUGUUGACACCAAGCUCCCAAUACUGUCCCUGUUCUCCGUGUCUCACAUCCCUGCCUUUGGGCACCUGGGAUUCUUCCCCUUCUUGGAGCCGAGGGAGAGGGAAAACAAUUGUCUGUGCCACAGGUUGGAACAAAGCUCUCCAUUUUGCCAUUCAGUGCCUGUGCAGUCUGGCUGGCUGGCUGAGGGCGUGGGGCUUGGGGACUGUUUUGUUUUUAGGCUGCAGGCGGGGGCCCAAACAGAACAGGUGCCCUGGGUGCAGAAUGUGAAUCCUCAGCUUCAUGAAAGGCCUUUGUCACCAGUGUGAUUUUUGGAGAGGAGAAACCUAUGCACUGACCCUUUUCAGUAGCAUCUGAUGCGUGCACCGUGAUUAGAAAGAGUAGGGGAAGUUAAAAAUAACCUGUGGAGGAGGCAUUCUAAUGAGCAAUUAUCAUUCCUUUCCAUUGACUUUUGCAGCAAGACUCUCCAUGUGUUUAGUCUUCUCGAAAGAACAUGCCAGAUGUUAGAAUGCAGGCAGAGCUCCCAGAGGCUGGAGGACAAUGGUGGGGGUGAGGCAGAGCCGCCUGCGCCGUGUUGUGUCUGCGCUCCCAUCACAUCCCAUUACUGUCUCCAGUGCAGAUGGCACUUUGAACCACUCCACACGCCCACAGCCAACCAGGAGCUUGGUCCAAAACAUCUGCUUGGCAAAAAAAAAAAAUUUAAAUAAAAUAUAUAUAUAUAUUUAA